rnacentral:rRNA from 1 species
GGGGGAUAUUGCGCAAUGGGGGCAACCCUGACGCAGCAACGCCGCGUGAAGGAUGAAGGUUUUCGGAUUGUAAACUUCUUUUAUUAAGGACGAAAAAUGACGGUACUUAAUGAAUAAGCUCCGGCUAACUACGUGCCAGCAGCCGCGGUAAUACGUAGGGAGCAAGCGUUGUCCGGAUUUACUGGGUGUAAAGGGUGCGUAGGCGGCUUUACAAGUCAGAUGUGAAAUCUAUGGGCUCAACCCAUAAACUGCAUCUGAAACUGUAGAGCUUGAGUGAAGUAGAGGCAGGCGGAAUUCCCCGUGUAGCGGUGAAAUGCGUAGAGAUGGGGAGGAACACCAGUGGCGAAGGCGGCCUGCUGGGCUUUAACUGACGCUGAGGCACGAAAGCGUGGGUAGCAAACAGGAUUAGAUACCCUGGUAGUCCACGCUGUAAACGAUGAUUACUAGGUGUGGGGGGUCUGACCCCUUCCGUGCCGGAGUUAACACAAUAAGUAAUCCACCUGGGGAGUACGGCCGCAAGGUUGAAACUCAAAGGAAUUGACGGGGGCCCGCACAAGCAGUGGAGUAUGUGGUUUAAUUCGAAGCAACGCGAAGAACCUUACCAGGUCUUGACAUCCAACUAACGAAGUAGAGAUACAUUAGGUGCCCUUCGGGGAAAGUUGAGACAGGUGGUGCAUGGUUGUCGUCAGCUCGUGUCGUGAGAUGUUGGGUUAAGUCCCGCAACGAGCGCAACCCUUGCUAUUAGUUGCUACGCAAGAGCACUCUAAUAGGACUGCCGUUGACAAAACGGAGGAAGGUGGGGACGACGUCAAAUCAUCAUGCCCCUUAUGACCUGGGCUACACACGUACUACAAUGGAUGUUAACAGAGGGAAGCAAGACAGCGAUGUGGAGCAAACCCCUAAAAACAUUCUCAGUUCAGAUUGCAGGCUGCAACCCGCCUGCAUGAAGAUGGAAUUGCUAGUAAUCGCGGAUCAGCAUGCCGCGGUGAAUACGUUCCCG